CCCUUAGAUGUUCUGGGCUGCACGCGCGCUACACUGAUGCACUCAACGAGUUUACGACCUUGCCCGAUAGGGUUGGGUAAUCUUUUUAAAAUGCAUCGUGAUGAGGAUAGAUUAUUGCAAUUAUUAAUCUUCAACGAGGAAUUCCUAGUAAGCGCGAGUCAUCAGCUCGUGCUGAUUACGUCCCUGCCCUUUGUACACACCGCCCGUCGCUCCUACCGAUUGAGUGCUCAGGUGAAUAAUUCGGACUGCAGCAAUGUUUGGAUCCCGAACGUUGCAGCGGAAAGUUUAGUGAACCUUAUCACUUAGAGGAAGGAGAAGUCGUAACA
rnacentral:rRNA from 1 species